AAUAUAUGACGCCGUUUGUUUUUUUAUGAAUGUUUGACCGUUCGUCUUAUUUAAAACUUUAUGUAAUUAUCAUUUGUUUUAUUGUGACUUGAUUUAUCAUUAAAUGUUCUUUAAGCAUGACAUAAAUAUGUUUAUAUUUGCAUAAAAAUUUUAAAUAAGACGAAUGGUCAAACGUUGAUUAAAAAGUCAACGAUGUCAUACAU
rnacentral:pre_miRNA from 1 species